rnacentral:rRNA from 1 species
AGCGAACGCUGGCGGCAGGCUUAACACAUGCAAGUCGAGCGGGCGUAGCAAUACGUCAGCGGCAGACGGGUGAGUAACGCGUGGGAACGUACCUUUUGGUUCGGAACAACACAGGGAAACUUGUGCUAAUACCGGAUAAGCCCUUACGGGGAAAGAUUUAUCGCCGAAAGAUCGGCCCGCGUCUGAUUAGCUAGUUGGUGAGGUAACGGCUCACCAAGGCGACGAUCAGUAGCUGGUCUGAGAGGAUGAUCAGCCACAUUGGGAGUGAGACACGGCCCAAACUCCUACGGGAGGCAGCAGUGGGGAAUAUUGGACAAUGGGGGCAACACUGAUCCAGCCAUGCCGCGUGAGUGAUGAAGGCCCUAGGGUUGUAAAGCUCUUUUGUGCGGGAAGAAAAUGACGGUACCGCAAGAAUAAGCCCCGGCUAACUUCGUG